UACGGAGGGUGCGAGCGUUGUUCGGAAUCACUGGGCGUAAAGGGCGUGUAGGCGGUCCGCUAAGUCUGAUGUGAAAGCCCGGGGCUCACCCCCGGAAGGGCAUUGGAAACUGACGGACUCGAGUCCCGAAGAGGAGGGUGGAAUUCCUGGUGUAGCGGUGAAAUGCGUAGAUAUCAGGAGGAACACCGGUGGCGAAGGCGGCCCUCUGGACGGUGACUGACGCUGAGACGCGAAAGCGUGGGGGGCAAACAGG
rnacentral:rRNA from 1 species